AUGAACAGGGUGCUUAGCUCCUCUACAAGGAGAGAAAAAACAAAGCCUGGUGGAGCGGGGGCAGGCGAGGAGGCUCUCCACAACAGGAAUUCAGGGGCUGCAGAUGUCCUGGUUAAGAGAGACCAGCCACUCUUGAAAGGAUUGCCUUGCAUCAUGUUAGCAGUGUUGGAAUUCAGCUGCUGGAACCCUGAAUCAAAGGAGGAACACAGUGGCUUUGGAGCACCAUGCAGAACAUAUGCAGGCAGCUCCUUACUGGUGAAGAAAGCUUCCACAUACCAGUAAGACCUUCCGUCCAUCCAAAGCACCAUUCUGCAGUGGGAUGAUGGGAUUUGAUGGACAAGGAGGGGAGUCAUCUGUUCAACUUGAGAGAGUGUAAUCAGACCCAUAGGUAUCAUUGUAAAAAUCAGAAGCAUGCUGAACCAUAAAAGGUUUUGAUUGCAGCUGUGUUUUGUGUCUUCUCCAUACUCAUCCUAAUCACCUGACUAAACUUCAGAAUCACUUUUCCUAUAAGCAGAUGGAAAAUCCCAGCCCAUCGCAGCACUGGAGAACUCAGACGGGCUGGAAGAAGCAGGAAAAAUAAACUGGAGGAAGUGGGAAAAAAUAAAAUAUUU
rnacentral:lncRNA from 1 species